rnacentral:rRNA from 1 species
UACGUAGGGUGCAAGCGUUAAUCGGAAUUACUGGGCGUAAAGCGUGCGCAGGCGGUCUGUUAAGACCGAUGUGAAAUCCCCGGGCUUAACCUGGGAACUGCAUUGGUGACUGGCAGGCUUUGAGUGUGGCAGAGGGAGGUAGAAUUCCACGUGUAGCAGUGAAAUGCGUAGAGAUGUGGAGGAGUACCGAUGGCGAAGGCAGCCUCCUGGGCCAACACUGACGCUGAGGAGCGAAAGCGUGGGGAGCGAACAGG